AUUUGAGCCAAUGGAGAAGUUCCUGAUGCCCACACCUGCUGGUCUCACCGCUAGGGCCUGGGCAUCACAGGCAGGGGGAAUGGGGAGGGGACGGUAGCGUCAGCCUACACCCACACGCAGUUUCCUGAUAAAAGGUCCUUUGGAAACUUUGAUUCUCUUCUCACCAAGUUGAACGGAGAUGUGUUCCCAUAGUAAGAGUGAGGCCCCUGCAUUUGCUGCCCUCGGUUUUCCCAACUAACACCAGGGCCUCCCCCCUGUACCCCAUUCAUAUGCCUCAGAAGCUGACAAUGACUGUUGGGCUUUUCCAAUGAAUACCAGAACACCAUUUCCUGCAGCCUGAAAAGAAGACAGUAUAAUUGUUUGGCAGCAAGAGAAUCCAGGUGCCCUUCCAUGAGAAGCCCAAGCCAUGUGGAGAAGCCACGUCUAGGGACUCCAGUUAACACUCUCAGCUGAGUCCCCAGCUGACAGUCAGCAUCAACUGCCAGCCACCUCUGUCUAAAAGUGGGCUAUCUUGGGCAUCCAGCCCAGUCAAGCCUUCAGAUGAGUCCAGUCCCAGCCACUAUCUCACACAACCACACGAGAGACAUCAAGAACUCCCAGUGGAGUCCAGUCAGCCCAUGGAACUGCAAGAGACAGGAUCUCGCUGCGUUGCUCAGACUGGUCUCGAACUCCUGGGCUUAAGGGAUUCUCCUGCCUCAAUCACAGCCUCCCAAGUAGCUGAGAUUAAAAGUGCUCACCACCGUGCCAGCGAGUUCAGUUUUUGAGGUAAAAACAAGUGCACUCAAAAAGAAAAACACUGACAAAUGUGUUAGAGUGGAGCAUAUUCCAAAUAAGAAUCACAAGCCUCGAAGAGGGGCUUCUGGAGAGUUCAGAGACUUACAGGCUAAAGAUGACAGACCUCGAAGUGAGCCAGACCCACUGUGUACAGAGGCUGGAUUUGGUCAGGCAGUUUCUUGGGACUCAAAAGAAGUAGAAUCAAACCAGAAACAAAAGAACAAAAUUUCCAGAAAUGCUGGGGUCUUGGGUGUGCAGACUGAUCAGGAUUGAGUGCUGUUGCCCAGUUCUGGGUCUUCUUUUUCUCCCCCAGCUUUAUAGAGAUGUAAUUGACAAAAAUUAUAUAUAUUUAAGGCAUGCAA
ensembl:lncRNA novel transcript